GACGAACGCNGGCGGCGUGCUUAACACAUGCAAGUCGAACGAAGAGCGAUGGAAGCUUGCUUCUAUCAAUCUUAGUGGCGAACGGGUGAGUAACGCGUAAUCAACCUGCCCUUCAGAGGGGGACAACAGUUGGAAACGACUGCUAAUACCGCAUACGAUCUAACCUCGGCAUCGAGGAAAGACGAAAGGUGGCCUCUAUGUAUAAGCUAUCACUGAAGGAGGGGAUUGCGUCUGAUUAGCUAGUUGGAGGGGUAACGGCCCACCAAGGCGAUGAUCAGUAGCCGGUCUGAGAGGAUGAACGGCCACAUUGGGACUGAGACACGGCCCAGACUCCUACGGGAGGCAGCAGUGGGGAAUCUUCCGCAAUGGACGAAAGUCUGACGGAGCAACGCCGCGUGAGUGAUGACGGCCUUCGGGUUGUAAAGCUCUGUUAAUCGGGACGAAAGGCCUUCUUGCGAAUAGNGAGAAGGAUGACG
rnacentral:rRNA from 1 species